AGAUAACGGCAAUCACCUUGGAGAGUGGUUACUGGCGUUCAACAUUCAUUCAACUAAAAGAUGGAAAGUUUCCUUUUGAGAGGAGAAAAAAAUGGUGAAAAGAAAAUUCUAGCAAAUAAAAAAUGAUUUGCAAGGCUUCUCCUGUACUUGCUAAGCUGGAGUGCAAUGGAGUGAUCUCAGCUCACUGCAACCUCUGCCUCCUGAGUUCAAGCGAUUCUCCUGCAUCAGCCUCCCGAGUAUCUGGGAUUACAG